UGAUAUCCCGAGAAUCACGCUGCCGUGCAUGGCAUACUGUGGACAUACGGGCCAAACGCUUGUGUAUUCUAAUUACAGGUGCAUAUAAAUAGUUGAUCUAAAAUGAAAUGUAAGCCAAGGUAUGAGCCAAAACAUCAUGGUCCAGACUCCACCAUCUGGACCUCCUGAGGCUCAGAACGCCUCCCCCUUCCCUGGCCCGAAACACUGGUGGUCUCUCCACUCUUGGAGCCAGAAACAUACGUGUCCUCCUCCUGCGCCCCGUGUUUGGCGCCUGGAGCAUCGGCUGGAUUAACAGCCGUGAUGGGACCCUUCCUGGGUAGGUUUCACAGCUGGGGUGCUAGGGGCGGGGCAAGGGCACGCAGAUCGACUGGCACCUCGGGGAGACACAAAGCGGAGAGGUGGAGGACGUCCGCGAGACCCGCCCGGUGUGUAGAGUCUGUUUCUAUGUCAGUCUGGGAGAGCUACAUUCUAGCAUUCAGUACAUAUGUGUGCGUCUGUGUUAGUACACGCCAGUGUGUGUUUGUGUGUGCGGAGACUCUCCAAGGAGCCAACUGUAUAUCGUGUAGCUCUGCAGGCAGCCAGAUGCCCUUGUACAGGACACCCACAUCGAAAAUCCAUCCACAAGAAUGGAGAUUACACUGGAGACGAUUGGCCACCGGCCAUCCAGCUCUCCUUCCCUCUCACAGUAACAGAUCUCUCUCUCUCUCUCUCUCUCUCUCUCUCAAGCUAGCCUCAUUCUGUUUUUCAUUUGGUAACUUUAGAUGGAUUGCUCUCAUAUACACUGGACGUUUUGGAGCAGAUGGGGAGAUAAAGCCACUGCCCUAUGCACUGUAACCCUGUGCUACAAAAUGCAUUACCUGCAGAAAUAUCCAUCUCAUUAACCAAUUUAUGUCUUCUAAAAAUCUUAUUUUCUUAAAACAAAUGAAGAAAUCUGAUGGAUGGAUGGAUAUUUCAACCUAUUUCAGUCAUUUUCUUAAUUCUUUCAUUGUUCGUACAAUUAUUAUACUGAUCUGUGCAAUAUAUUUAUUAUCAUUUAUCACGUCAUAGUUUUUUUUUAAGCACCGCUGGGAGGGGCAUUUGCAAUUUUCUUGUAUUCAUUGUAAUAUAGAGACAAUAAAGGCUUCUCUUAUCCUUU